rnacentral:rRNA from 1 species
AAUCAACGCUGGCGGCGUGCCUCAGACAUGCAAGUCGAACGCGAAAGUCCCCUUCGGGGGACAAGUAGAGUGGCGCACGGGUGAGUAACACGUAGGUAAUCUACCUUUGGAUGGGGAAUAACAACCGGAAACGGUUGCUAAUACCGCAUAAUGCAGCGGCACCUAAUGGUGACAGUUGUUAAAGCGGGGGAUCGAAAGACCUCGCGUCUGAAGAGGAGCCUGCGGCGGAUUAGCUAGNGGUAAGGUAAUGGCUUACCAAGGCUACGAUCCGUAACCGGCCUGAGAGGGCGGUCGGUCACACUGACACUGACAUACGGGUCAGACUCCUACGGGAGGCAGCAGUCGGGAAUUUUGGGCAAUGGGCGAAAGCCUGACCCAGCAACGCCGCGUGAAGGAUGAAAUCCCUCGGGAUGUAAACUUCGCAAGAACGGGAAGAAUAAGCGAGAGUUAAUAUCUUUCGUGAUGACGGUACCGUUUGUAAGCUCCGGCUAACUCCGUGCCAGCAGCCGCUGUAA